rnacentral:rRNA from 1 species
ACGCACAGGAUGCACCGUAGUUUACUACACCGUAUUCUGUGAGUUGCGAACGGGUGAGUAACGCGUAGGUAACCUGCCUGGUAGCGGGGGAUAACUAUUGGAAACGAUAGCUAAUACCGCAUAAGAACAUUUACUGCAUGGUAGAUGUUUAAAAGGUGCAAAUGCAUCACUACCAGAUGGACCUGCGUUGUAUUAGCUAGUAGGUGAGGUAACGGCUCACCUAGGCGACGAUACAUAGCCGACCUGAGAGGGUGAUCGGCCACACUGGGACUGAGACACGGCCCAGACUCCUACGGGAGGCAGCAGUAGGGAAUCUUCGGCAAUGGGGGUGAACCCUGACCGAGCAACGCCGCGUGAGUGAAGAAGGUUUUCGGAUCGUAAAGCUCUGUUGUUAAGGAAGAACGAGUGUGAGAA